AACACUCAUUUUGGUUAAGUAUUGAGAAAUUUAUAGUCCUUUGAAGUUUAUGUUAGAAAUCUGGAAAUUUUAGAGAAUUGUUGAAAUAGGAUUUUAUUUCUUAAGCUUUGUUUUCGUGAGCGUCAUCUUUGGUGCGACAUGUUAUGUAUAUCUUUAGGAAACCAGAAUGUUUAGGGUUUUAAUACUCGGUUGGGUUGUUGGCAGGCCGAGAAGAAUUAAACCGAGCUUAUAGACCAAGGAUCUAGCCCAAGACUGUAGAUAUCGACUUCCCGGUGCCUGAUAGACUGCCUUAGUCUGCGGAAGCUUCAUUAUCGAUUGCCAGUACGUGUUUUGAGUUGGGCAUAAAGUCUGUUGUGUUGUGAUGUAUUCACACCCUUGUAUGUUAUAGAUACUCCACAGUUUGUAUAAGCUUUAGGAGCUGUAGUUGUGUAAAUUUUGUUGGUUAUAUUUUGAUUAAGGUGUCUUUAGGUUUACUCGUGAAAUCGGUAAAUUUUGAGGUACACUUCAUGUA